ACGGGGCGCAGCAGGCGCGAACACUUUACAAUGCGGGAAACCGCGAUAAGGGAACCCCGAGUGCCAGCAUCAAAUGUUGGCUGUCCAGAUGAUUAAAAAUCAUUUGUUAGCAAGGGCCGGGCAAGACCGGUGCCAGCCGCCGCGGUAACACCGGCGGCCCGAGUGGUAGCCGUUUUUAUUGGGUCUAAAGGGUCCGUAGCCGGCCUGAUAAGUCCUUUGGGAAAUCUGGCAGCUUAACUGUCAGGCUUCUAAGGGAUACUGUCAGGCUUGGGACCGGAAGAGGUAAGGGGUACUCCAGGGGUAGGAGUGAAAUCUUGUAAUCCCUGGGGGACCAUCUGUGGCGAAGGCGCCUUACCAGAACGGGUCCGACGGUGAGGGACGAAAGCUAGGGGAGCAAACCGGAUUAGAUACCCGGGUAGUCCUAGCUGUAAACGAUGCUCRCUAGGUGUCAGACACGGUGCGACCGUGUUYGGUGCCGCAGGAAGCCGUUAAGCGAGCCACCUGGAAGUACGUCGCAAGGC
rnacentral:rRNA from 1 species